UUUCCGUAGGUGAACCUGCGGAAGGAUCAUUACCGAGAAGAGGUGGGCCGGUCGGGUACCCCCGGGCCGCCCCCGCACCUCCCCCACCCGUGUUUAUUGUACCCCGUUGCUUCGGUGGGCCCGCCCCUAACCGGGCCGCCGGGGCACCCCCAAGUCCCUGGGCCCGUCCCCGCCGAAGACCCCCCGAAAGCUGUCUGAAGUUUGCCGUCUGAGUGGUUAGAAACAAACAAACAAAACUUUCAACAACGGAUCUCUUGGUUCUG
rnacentral:misc_RNA from 1 species